GUCCCGUUGGCCGAGUGCGAUAGGCGGCGGUCUGCAACACCGCACAGGGCGGUUCAAAUCCGCCACGGGACU
rnacentral:tRNA from 1 species